rnacentral:lncRNA from 13 species
GGAUCACAAAGUCAGGAGUUCUAGACCUGCGUGACCAACACGUUGAAACCUUGUCUCUCCUAAAAACACAAAAAUUUUCCAGGCGUGGUGACACGAACCUGUAAUCUCACCUACUCAGGAGGCUGAGGCAAGAAUUGCUUGAACACAGGAGGUUAGAGUCAGCCGAGAUCGCUCCACAAUACUUCAUCCUGGGUAACAAAGGGAGACUUCAUCUCAAACAGACAAACAAAAACUUUAUUACAUAGGCAUGAUUUAAUAAUCUAAAGGCUACUGCUGAUCCUUAUCACCUCUGUCACAGAAUCCUUAGAUGCAGCUUACCUCAUCAGCCAUAAACCUAUAUAAUCAGUGUUAUUUUUGACCAAAUUUUACUGAGGCAUCUGGUCUCGUUUCAAACCCUCAGGCUUACAGAGGGGCUCAGCUUGCCCUAUGAACCUGGAGCUCAUUUUUGUUAUGGGUGAAUCAGGCACAGAGCAGAAAGUGUUACAUGUGGGUAUUACUGUUGCUUUCAGCCACUGAGCAUAGCAGGGCACAUUGGCUGUGGCAGGAUAAGAAGCUUUAGGUGCUGGGAAGGGUGUCAGCUGUCUGCAACCCUGGCUGCCACAACAGGCACUAGAGAAUGCAGUGCAAGCUUCAAGAUGCCAAACCGCAAAGAUCCAAAAGUGGUGUGAAGCCCUGGAUUGGAAAUCUUGCUCUUCCUCCUGGUCUCUAUUAAAGAACAGUGAGAUUGUUUGGUUCGGUAAUAAUUCUAGAAUCGGUUCUGGUUUCAAGGGAAGAGAUACUGAACCUCAAAUUUGCUGUUUUUGCACCAAGUGCAAGCCUUAUUACCUGCAGAAAGUAGUGCCAAUAUUGUGGAAAAACAGACACAGGAUUUUAUUAUGUGAAUGACUGACCUGCAAUAAAAGAUUCAGGCACAGCCUCA